CCGUAAAUGGGCUUACGUUCGCCGCUGGGAUUUCGGAGCACACUGUCGCCCAGGUGCAUCUUGUAGCUGUUAGUCACAUUGCGCCACGGCAGGACAUCAACCGAACCAUCUUCCCGAGGAACUUACAAAGUUAUCACCAAAGAUCAUGACCACGCAGGUGAACAGAUUGUCGGACACCGCAUUGACAAGAUCCGUGUGUCGGAAGUGACAGAGCUCAGUCUUCUCCCGCUCCACGUUCGUGGCCUUGGCAAUGUAUGUCAGCCGCUCCUUAGGAUUCAGCUCGGCCGCAUAGUUCUUGAGCACGGUGUGGUAGGGAAUCCAGGCCAGGACCGAAUCACCUCCGUUGGCGCACACCUCCGCCUGGACUCCCCUUCCAGUCAGUUCUCCGUUGCGCAGCUUAAAAUAGUGAUGGUUAUCCCGCUUGAUUGUGGUGGAGCCGUGAUCUGCGCACAGGGUGUCCACGAGGCUUGCCUGGGAAACGGAGAGAUAAAAGUUAGACUAAAACAAACACCUUGUUCGUAAAUAACCACCGUCUUCGGCUUAUCUCCGCCGGCAUUAUCUUCUUCAGCUGCGAUGGACACUUUGUCACUUUAUCGUCAAGCUAAUUCAAUUUGGAAUAUCAGCCACUCGAAUAAUUUACGGCUGGCAUUGGAUUUGUCACUUAAGGAUGUCGAUGGGGCAAACUAGUUUGGCGACGCUGCAUUUGCCAUUAAAGGUAGGGAGUUUUUGAAAUUGAGGCCAUUUUUAGCAAAUAUGGAAUCGUUAAAUCUGCUUUUAGUCGCCAAAUAAUUGCACUAACUGCAAUACUUUUGUUCCAAAAGCAGUUGAAUCCAUAACAAAUUGCAUAUUUGCUACUUCUUUACUUUAAAUUGAUCGUUUCUAAAAUUCUUCUUUUCUAUUAUGGUUUACCAACCAAGAAAAUCCAGAAAACUAUAGCUCAUAAAUGGGUAUUUCCAUAUGCACAUGAUUUUACCUUCUCAUUUUGGGUCAACGUGGUGGCCUUAAUGUGGCACUGUAGGUCCUCCUCGCUGGGGAUGACCACAUGUCGAUCGAUCUCCGACAGAAGGAUGGGAUCUGUCUUAAUGCAGAAAUGAGGGUGUUCAUCGAGGGCCGCAACCAGUGUCACCAGCACGGCCAGGCAUCCGAUGAUGGUGGCUUUCAUAGACAUUUCCGCAGAUCCGGUGCACAGAGUUCUUGGAUUAAAUUGCGCCACAGCCGUCGAUAGGCACACUUCGGUGGUCAAGUAGUAACUAAAUUUGCAAUUUUCGAACACCUGAGCAACGGCCUAUACGAACGCAUUCAACUUGACCGCGAAGCUGUCGCACAACGAACACCUUAAUAUCACCAUAUUUAUCUACUGAUGAAGGAUUCGGCCGAGAUUCGCUUCGAUUUUCGGUGAGAGCCGGUCCGUGUCCGUAAUAGCGUCACCGAAAACCCAGUUAGUGAGCAACGACCGGGGUGAUGAAUGUAUUCGUUUUUCCAACUUGCAGUCCACACUUGGCGAUAAGAUAAUCGGCACCAUUUGACUCAAUCCGAAUAGACCGUAUGUGUAACACUGGUUAGUUAUGAUUUCUGUAAGCAUUAGGGUGGAUCAAUCAGUUCUCGUUGACUUUAUUUUGUAUAAUAUUGUCAUUCUUUAUUUAAUUAAUAUUGUAAAAUAUCCUAGACACCCCACGCAUCCCGAGAUACCCAUUAUUCCAUUUAUCAACAAUAUAUUUAAGUCCAGAGACUACUGUGGGAGUUAUUCAAAUCAAUACGACAUAAACAUUCGGACUUCUUAGGUGACAUAAAUCACACGAUCGACGCCUUACCGUCGACAACAGACAUAAACAAUUUUCAAACUUUUAAACAAAGGGUCCAGCCAGUGAACCCAUUUAUCAGCAUAAAAGCUUCGACCAAUCCGAAUUAAUUAAACAAAAGAUGAAGCCUGACGAGGCAUAGAUCAGGCCACAGUUUUAGGAAACCGAAAUCUUCUGAGCAAAGUCAAUUUUCGCUGACAGCGUCGCUGUCAUCUAUUCAUCACCAUUGCCCAAGCCCAAGACACCGUCCAUCAAGAGCAACAAGGAGAAGGCCCGCUCGCUGGACUCGGCAACCUCGCUCUCGCGACAGAAGAAAGUCACCAGGAAUCAACACCACUGACUGGCUUAUGUACCACCGCAAGACUUAUUGAGGCAAAUAAUAUUGUAUAUAAAUAAAUUCAGUAUAUGAUAGCAUUAAUUUCUAAAACGAAA